GAAAGAUUCAUCGGAAGAGGAUGGGCAUGCGGCGCAUUAGCUUGACGGCGGGGUAACGGCCCACCGUGGCGACGAUGCGUAGGGGUUCUGAGAGGAAGGUCCCCCACACUGGUACUGAGACACGGACCAGACUCCUACGGGAGGCAGCAGUGAGGAAUAUUGGUCAAUGGGAGAGAUCCUGAACCAGCCAAGCCGCGUGAGGGAAGACGGCCCUAUGGGUUGUAAACCUCUUUUGUCGGAGAACAAAACCCGGGACGUGUCCCGGACUGCGUGUAUCCGAAGAAAAAGCAUCGGCUAACUCCGUGCCAGCAGCCGCGGUAAUACGGAGGAUGCGAGCGUUAUCCGGAUUUAUUGGGUUUAAAGGGUGCGUAGGCGGUCCGUUAAGUCAGCGGUAAAAUUGCGGGGCUCAACCCCGUCGAGCCGUUGAAACUGGCAGACUUGAGUUGGCGAGAAGUACGCGGAAUGCGCGGUGUAGCGGUGAAAUGCAUAGAUAUCGCGCAGAACUCCGAUUGCGAAGGCAGCGUACCGGCGCCAGACUGACGCUGAGGCACGAAAGCGUGGGGAUCGAACAGGAUUAGAUACCCUGGUAGUCCACGCAGUAAACGAUGAAUGCUGGUUGUCCGGGUCGAAUGAGACCUGGGCGGCGA
rnacentral:rRNA from 1 species